GCCGCCUUAGCUCAGGGGUUAGAGCAUCUGUUUUGUAAACAGAGGGUCCUCGGUUCGAAUCCGAGAGGCGGCU
rnacentral:tRNA from 1 species